AAACCCCUAACCCUAGCCCAUUGUCUGUCAAGAUUUCCUUAUAGUCCAAUAAGCCUUCUUCUCCUCUAGCUACAUUGUUUUCUUGUUAAAUUAAUUGCUUAACUUUCAUUUUUCUAGCAAGGAAUGUUGCCUUUCUUCUUGAGGAAAAUUCCUGCCCCUUCCUUCUUCCAAGUCUAUUUUGCACUGUUGGGCUAGCUAUACUGUUAUUAUUGGUUGGAGUUUUGGAAUGUUUCUGUUGCCCUUUUAAUGUUCUUCCUUUACACCGAAAGUUUUCUUUCUGUUCAUACAUAUUUCAUCUUAGGUCUUGCAUGAAAGGAGGAGGCCAUUAGCGCAGCCAAGGAUGACUUGCCGGUAUAUAUGUAUGCAUAUAUAUAUGUAUUUGAAAAUCAUCGAAGAACUAAUUAACAUAAAUUAAUCCAUGAUUAUAUAUGCAAUUAGCCGGCGAGUCAUCUCUGGCUACUCAACUGCCUCCUUCUUUCAUGCUGGACUUAUGGUGAUAAUCAAAACGGAUGAUAAUGGUGGAAAUAAGAUUAGGAUCAUCAUCAUUAAGCUAGUCACCAAGCACUUACAGAUUUCUAUUCUUGCUUGAUCAAUAUGACUUUACAUGCUUAUAAAAAUUGGUCACUCCUAUACAUAGAAGGGAGCUAGACUGAGCUUGAGUUUCUUCUUCACUUCCCCUUAGCAAAGACAUUUAGUAAGAUUUAAUGAAGAACAUGGUGUUGCUAAAUAAAAUCAAAAUAGAUUAGUACUAUUAUAGCUACUAGCUUUAAUAUUCUAGAUCCGUAUAUGUUUCUAUUUUCCUCUGCUGUAAGUUCAUGUUAUAAUUGUUGCAUCAAUAUCCACUUUUUUACCACAUUGUCGUUUUUGAAAUAACAUAUACUUACCGGUCAACUUAGUCGUA